CCAACAUUGAUAUGUGGGCCCCAUAUGGGUUAUAGCUGGGCAGCAUGGGUUCUAUGUGGGCAUGGGAUGAAGAUGGGCAAUUUAUGUGGGUCCCAUGUGUUUUUCACAAUGUGGGUCCCAUAUAGGUUUUACUAUAUGGGACCUUCAUGGGAUCUAUGUGGGCAUGGGCUGCAAAUGGGCAGUUUAUGUGGGUCCCAUGUGUGUUUCACAAUGUGGGUCCCAUAUAGAUAUGAGACCUUUGUGGGAUCUGUGUGGGCAAAAUAAUUUCACACUUAAAUACAUCUUUACACCUUUAAACUUUAUUGGUUAAAAGCCACUUUUUAGGAAUAAAUAUUGAAGAUUGGCAAUGGGAUGAAGCACAAGAACAAGUUCAUUCUUAUUCCAUGUUUAUAAAACCUACAUCGACUCCACCUUUCUAAACUAAAGCUCUCUAAUAUAUUUUCCUCUGUAGACCCACUAUGUGAUAUGUGUGGUCAAACACCAGCAUCACUAGGACAUAUGUUUUGGCAUUUUCCUAAGAUUGGUAAUUAUUGGAUUUCAGUUUUUCAGUUGCUGUCAGAAGUGUAGGAAAAGCAGUUGGAUCCAGACCCAAUUUUAGCUUUAGUUUUUUUUAGCUUUUUUUUUUUAGUUUUUGGUGUCAGUGAUAAAAUGGAGCAAAUAAAUAAAUAAAUAAAUAUGCAGCAUGCCUUUUAUCAAUUAUUUUAAUAAGAAAGCAGUAGUUGAAUUCUAAUACAAGCACCCCCCUACACACACACUUAUUUUCUUUUUCCAUUUAUUUUCUUUUCUUUUUCAUUUUUCUUUUUCCAUAUAUUAUUACGAUAUUAAAAUCUAGUGCUAAAUCAGGAUUUGUAUAAAAGUGUAAAAAAAUUUGUAUUGGAAUGUUUUUAUUUUUGUUUUUGUGCCAAUGUAAAAAAACUUAUAAAGAGAAUGUUUUUUAAAAAAUUAUUUUAAAACAUUUUAAAUGAAAAUGUGUGGAUUAUCUAUAUCUGCCUAUGCAAAAAUGCAUUUUUCUUUUAAUGCACACAUAGCAGGGACAACCCUUUUUAAUGUUUUUUUUAUGGUUUUUGUUUUUUAAACUAGAAGACUUAUUCGGUUGUUAAGUCUGACGUCACGACUUAACAAGCGGAUAUCGGUCUCACAUGGGACCUACUGUAGCCUACACUCUCAAAUGUUCUGACAACCUUCCGCUUGACAAAGUAGUCCUUUUGUAUUCCAAUUUUAGUUAGAUUUUUUCACAUAAUAUUAUAUCAUAUAAUAUCAUAUGUCAAUGAUCUUUUCUGAAAAUAAGCGUACAUUUAAAUUUAUAACUGUAAAUAUUUUAAAUAUUCGAACAAAAGGAAUUUCCGCGCUGGCGCGCGGAUACAGUUUCUAAGCACAGUGGUGCGGCAGCACGGCAGGAGACAGGAGGUACUACUUUUAACGGUCAGCAGUGAUCGAGACGGAUCGAAAAUAAGCAGGUGGACUGAAGAAGAAUGCAAUGACCAAGACUGUGAACCAGAAAGACAUAGAAAAAGCACUCUCAAAAUGGUUCACAGGGGCUAGAGACAGGGGCGGAAAGAGAGCAAUCAGGUCACAGCAGUCUUCAGGACUGUGAUCAGUUUUGUGUGUGUCCAUCUAUACAAAUUGUUGAGACCAAGUAUUUUAAUACUGUAUUGUAAGUUAAACAGUUUUUGUGUUUUAUGUUGUCGUUGAGGUUUUAAGUGUUUAAAAGGGAUUGUUCACCCAAAAUAUAAAAAUCUUUUCUCUUUCUUCUAUUGAUUUAAAGGGAUAGUUCACCCAAAAAUGAAAAUUUUAUGUUUAUCUGCUUACCCCCAGCGCAUCCAAGAUGUAGAUG